rnacentral:rRNA from 1 species
UAGGGAAUCUUCGGCAAUGGGGGGAACCCUGACCGAGCAACGCCGCGUGAGUGAAGAAGGUUUUCGGAUCGUAAAGCUCUGUUGUUAAGGAAGAACGAGUGUGAGAAUGGAAAGUUCAUGCUGUGACGGUACUUAACCAGAAAGGGACGGCUAACUACGUGCCAGCAGUCGCGGUAAUACGUAGGUCCCGAGCGUUGUCCGGAUUUAUUGGGCGUAAAGCGAGCGCAGGCGGUUAGAAAAGUCUGAAGUGAAAGGCAGUGGCUCAACCAUUGUAGGCUUUGGGAACUGUUUAACUUGAGUGCAGAAGGGGAGGGUGGAAUUCCAUGUGUAGCGGUGAAAUGCGUAGAUAUAUGGAGGAACACCGGUGGCGAAAGCGGCUCUCUGGUCUGUCACAGACGCAGAGGCUCGAAAGCGUGGGGAGCUAACAGG